AGGAAAUGGAGCAGAGCGACAGAGGCUGCAGACUGGAGUUGAGAGGAAUCCAACAGAAGAUGAUUAUCGCAGAUGAAUGUGAACGAUGAAUACUGUGAACAGUAAUCCGAAGCAGGAAACACAAAUCGAGACAUUUGGAAGAACACACAAUGAAAGGAAGUUACCAGGUGCUAUCGAGCUCCAAAAAGGACAAAAGUAUAAUCCACUUGCCUCUGUGGGGAGAAAGAAGAAGGGCCUUUUGUCAACACGGGGAGAGCUAUCACAUGCUUUUUUUCACCACAAACAACACACAGAGUUCUAUGUACUUCCACCCCUUCAUCAUUUCUACUCAAACUGCA